rnacentral:rRNA from 1 species
UGGGGAAUAUUGGACAAUGGGCGAAAGCCUGAUCCAGCCAUGCCGCGUGUGUGAAGAAGGUCUUCGGAUUGUAAAGCACUUUAAGUUGGGAGGAAGGGCAGUAAGCGAAUACCUUGCUGUUUUGACGUUACCGACAGAAUAAGCACCGGCUAACUCUGUGCCAGCAGCCGCGGUAAUACAGAGGGUGCGAGCGUUAAUCGGAUCUACUGGGCGUAAAGCGUGCGUAGGCGGCUAAUUGAGUCGGAUGUGAAAUCCCCGAGCUUAACUUGGGAAUUGCAUUAGAUACUGGUUAGCUAGAGUGUGGGAGAGGAUGGUAGAAUUCCAGGUGUAGCGGUGAAAUGCGUAGAGAUCUGGAGGAAUACCGAUGGCGAAGGCAGCCAUCUGGCCUAACACUGACGCUGAGGUACGAAAGCAUGGGGAGCAAACAGG